AGAUGGAACAGCCGAUGCUGGAGAGCUUGAGCCUGGACACUGUCGUCAAGGCGUUGGAGCAGCUGAGACUCUGCUCUCGGGCAGAAUGAGAGCCUCCUUGCUCUGUAAUCUGACUCCUCUCUCUCCACCCCUGCUCCUCCAAGGAAUGUCCCAGGGGGUCACCUAGCCACCCGCCCACAGGGCAGCCUCAUCCCCAGCUUGGAACCUGGACCCUGGCUCAACUUGAAUUGUUGGCCUUCACUGGUCUUUCUCUCUGGAGCUGCAUUUUCAGUCUGGUCCAGGGUCCUUUCUUGUUCCGUCUCUGCAUCUUCAGCCACUGCCAGGGCACCUGGCACACAACAGGUACCCACGAGAGAUUUGUUGCCUGC